UGGGGAAUAUUGGACAAUGGGCGAAAGCCUGAUCCAGCCAUGCCGCGUGUGUGAAGAAGGUCUUCGGAUUGUAACGCACUUUAAGUUGGGAGGAAGGGCAGUAAGCGAAUACCUUGCUGUUUUGACGUUACCGACAGAAUAAGCACCGGCUAACUCUGUGCCAGCAGCCGCGGUAAUACAGAGGGUGCAAGCGUUAAUCGGAAUUACUGGGCGUAAAGCGCGCGUAGGUGGUUCGUUAAGUUGAAUGUGAAAGCCCCGGGCUCGACCUGGGAACUGCAUCCAAAACUGGCGAGCUGGAGUAGGGCAGAGGGUGGUGGAAUUUCCUGUGUAGCGGUGAAAUGCGUAGAUAUAGGAAGGAACACCAGUGGCGAAGGCGACCACCUGGGCUCAUACUGACACUGAGGUGCGAAAGCGUGGGGAGCAAACAGG
rnacentral:rRNA from 1 species